rnacentral:rRNA from 1 species
GUAAUACUUAGGAAUCUACCUAUUAGUGGGGGACAACAUCUCGAAAGGGAUGCUAAUACCGCAUACGUCCUACGGGAGAAAGCAGGGGACCUUCGGGCCUUGCGCUAAUAGAUGAGCCUAAGUCGGAUUAGCUAGUUGGUGGGGUAAAGGCCUACCAAGGCGACGAUCUGUAGCGGGUCUGAGAGGAUGAUCCGCCACACUGGGACUGAGACACGGCCCAGACUCCUACGGGAGGCAGCAGUGGGGAAUAUUGGACAAUGGGGGGAACCCUGAUCCAGCCAUGCCGCGUGUGUGAAGAAGGCCUUUUGGUUGUAAAGCACUUUAAGCGAGGAGGAGGCUACCGAGAUUAAUACUCUUGGAUAGUGGACGUUACUCGCAGAAUAAGCACCGGCUAACUCUGUGCCAGCAGCCGCGGUAAUACAGAGGGUGCAAGCGUUAAUCGGAUUUACUGGGCGUAAGGCGCGCGUAGGUGGCCAAUUAAGUCAAAUGUGAAAUCCCCGAGCUUAACUUGGGAAUUGCAUUCGAUACUGGUUGGCUAGAGUAUGGGAGAGGAUGGUAGAAUUCCAGGUGUAGCGGUGAAAUGCGUAGAGAUCUGGAGGAAUACCGAUGGCGAAGGCAGCCAUCUGGCCUAAUACUGACACUGAGGUG